UGAGGAAUAUUGCGCAAUGGGCGAAAGCCUGACGCAGCCACGCCGCGUGCAGGAUGACACCCCUAUGGGGCGUAAACUGCUUUUAUAUGAGAAGAACACCCUCGUUUCGAGGCUUGACGGUAUCAUAUGAAUAAGGACCGGCUAACUCCGUGCCAGCAGCCGCGGUAAUACGGAGGGUCCAAGCGUUGUCCGGAUUUAUUGGGUGUAAAGGGUGCGUAGGUGGGCCUGUAAGUCAGAGGUGAAAUCCCGCAGCUUAACUGUGGAACUGCCUUUGAUACUGCAGGUCUUGAGUCCCGGAGGGGUCGCCGGAAUUCGUGGUGUAGCGGUGAAAUGCGUAGAUAUCACGAGGAACGCCGGAGGUGUAGACGGGUGACUGGACGGGUACUGACACUAAGGCACGAAAGCGUGGGGAGCGAACAGGAUUAGAUACCCCCGUAGUCC
rnacentral:rRNA from 1 species